GACGAACGCUGGCGGCGUGCCUAAUACAUGCAAGUUGAGCGCUGAAGGUUGGUACUUGUACCAACUGGAUGAGCAGCGAACGGGUGAGUAACGCGUGGGGAAUCUGCCUUUGAGCGGGGGACAACAUUUGGAAACGAAUGCUAAUACCGCAUAAAAACUUUAAACACAAGUUUUAAGUUUGAAAGAUGCAAUUGCAUCACUCAAAGAUGAUCCCGCGUUGUAUUAGCUAGUUGGUGAGGUAAAGGCUCACCAAGGCGAUGAUACAUAGCCGACCUGAGAGGGUGAUCGGCCACAUUGGGACUGGGACACGGCCCAGACGCCGACGGGAGGCAGCAGUAGGGAAUCUUCGGCAAUGGACGAAAGUCUGACCGAGCAACGCCGCGUGAGUGAAGAAAGUUUUCGGAUCGUAAAACUCUGUUAGUAGAGAAGAACGUUGGUGAGAGUGGAAAGCUCAUCAAGUGACGGUAACUACCCAGAAAGGGACGGCUAACUACGUG
rnacentral:rRNA from 1 species